GAUGAACGCUGGCGGCAUGCCUAAUACAUGCAAGUCGAACGAGAGGAAGGAAAGCUUGCUUUCCUGAAUCUAGUGGCGAACGGGUGAGUAACACGUAGGUAACCUGCCCAUGUGCCCGGGAUAACUUCUGGAAACGGAUGCUAAAACCGGAUAGGUAGCAGACAAGCUAUUGACUGACUUAAAGUUAAGGUCGGUCCGUUCGGACCUAGUACGAAACUAGGUAGGUAGU
rnacentral:rRNA from 1 species